rnacentral:lncRNA from 1 species
UUCUCUGUCACCGUCAACGGUUUUACUCUCUUGAAGAACUUCCGUGCCGAUUUAACGGCAAAGGCUUCUCAUGAUGCGUCCAUAUUUAAGGAGUUCAUAGUCCCUGUUUCGAGUGGAUACACGAUGCUAAAUCUCACGUUCUCACCUUCUUUAAACAUGUUAGCUUUCGUGAACGGCAUCGAGAUUGUCUCCAUGCCUGAUCGGUUUUACUCCAAGGGAGGCUUCGACGACAAAAUAAAACAGGUAGGUAAUAGCAUUGACUUCGAGAUAAACAACAGCACGGCUUUCGAAACUGUUCACCGGCUAAACAUCGGUGGACAACUGAUUGACGGCAUAAGUGAUACAGGGAUGUUCCGGCCGUGGCUUGCUGAAAAGUUUCAACUAAGUGAAAAGUCGGGAAUCGUGCCAGUCGUUCCGGGUGUAAAGAUCAACUACAUGGAGAAUACUCCAGCGUAUGUCGCGCCGGAAGAUGUGUACACGACGUACCGUACAAUGGGUAACGCCGAGCAUCCUAGGCUGAACCAGAACUUCAAUCUGACAUGGCUCUUCCCAGUUGAUGCCGGGUUUAACUACCUCGUCAGGCUUCAUUUCUGUGAGACUCUAUCGGAUGUGAACGGACCGGGCCAACGUGUCUUCACCAUCUUCAUUGGAAAUAAGAUUGCAAAGCUUGACAUGGAUGUCAUUCAGCUGAGCGGUGGUUCUCGCAUUCCGGUGUAUCUAGACUUCAGUGUGCUUGUUGGUUUUGAAAGUGGGCCGCGACCUGAUCUACGACUUGACUUGCAUCCUUACACGGACAGUGGCCCAAAGUAUUACGAUGCUAUUCUCAAUGGCGUAGAGAUCCUCAAGCUUAGUGUCUCUGGCGGAAAUCUUGCUGGACCUAAUCCUAAUCCUACGUCAGGUCUUACUCCAAACUCUGUAAAUCAAGAUAUACAAAAACCCAAAGCCAAGUCACACGUUUUGGUAAUAACACUUGGAACUGUUGGGUUUGCAAUUGUGUUAGCAAUGUUUAUUGUUGUUGUCAUCGUCAUGAAGAGGAGGAAGAAGAAAAAGAAGGUUAAUGUAGACACCAAGAGCAAGCCUACGGACUCGUGGACUACUCUUCCGCUUGUUGCCGGGUCCUCCCAUACCAGAUCGACCACAUCUCUUCCAUCCGAUCUCUGCCGUCGGUUCUCCAUCCUCGAGAUCAAAUCCGCCACAAACAAUUUCGAGAAAAAGCUGAUCGUUGGAGUAGGCGGGUUUGGUCCUGUCUACAAAGGAAGAAUCGACGGUGGAGCCACGCUUGUGGCUGUUAAACGGUUAGAUGUUUCAUCCAACCAAGGCGCUACCGAGUUCGAAGCAGAGCUCAAGAUGCUCUCGGUGCUCCGUCAUAUACAUCUCGUUUCCUUAAUCGGAUAUUGCGACGAUGUUCCUCUCUCUCUCUCUCUCUCUCUCUCUCUCUCUCUCUCUCUCUCUCUCUCUCUCACGAAACGUACAACUAGUUAAACUGGUACAACUAUUAGCAGUUGUACAACAAAUAAUUGCUUGGCUACAACAGCGACAAAAAUGCUAGCGACAACGACUACGAAGAAACCAUCUACGAAGAAAGAAGCGACGAAGAAAGCAACAGUGAGGGAAGCAGAAACGAGGGAAACGAAAACGAGGGAAGUGAUAAAUGAGUUUUGCUUAUGUGUUAUGAACAUUGCUUAUGUGUUGUGGAACUUAUUCAUGUGUUAGGGAUGCUAUUUAUGUGUUUUUAAACUUUGCAAUGGAGAAAAUUUGUAAUGUAUUGUUUCUGUCAGAUAUUACUGGUACAAUUGGUACUUCAUAUAAUACACAUUCAUGUUUAUGUGUUAUAACACUGGAAAAACUAGUACAACUAUACAAGUUGUAAAGUCUUUAGAAUGGUACAUCCUAACUAUUAGAAGUUUUAUCAAAAAAAAUCCGCAAUUAUAAACAAUCACAUAAGUUUCCAUUAUUUACCUUAUAAUUUAAAGGUUUGUUUACUUGUUUGUUCACUAUAUUUUUGAAAAAUAUACACUGGAUAUAUUUUAACAAAGUUAAUGAUUCCAUAGUAUGUGAUUCUAGGUAUUUAAAUAUAUACAAGUAGUACAACUGAUGUAUCUUUAUUUAAUAUUUGGUACAACUAGAUAUUUCAAAUUCUGGACCAAAAUACAACUAUGUACAAACUUGUACAACCCAAAACUCGGUACAACUAUGUAUACGAUUGUACAACUAAAAUAUUGGUACAACUACAUGUUAAUAAAUUUGGCACAUUUUAAUUGUUUACCACAUUUAAAUGCUCACUACGUUUUAAACAUGAUAGUUUUACCUUCUUUCGUUUAGUUGUACAAAUUGUACCCGUCAGAGUAAUUUUGUCAUAGUUAAUCUGGUUAAUUUAAUUAUACCAAAAACCUGUCAAGUUUAAACCUUUUGAAUUAACCCUAAAAACUUUUAAAUGUGCACUUUAACCUAUAUGGUAUUAUGCAUAUGCAAUAGAAACAUUUAGAUUCAUCUUAAAUAGUUUAAAUGUCUAAAAAAUGUUAAAAUGUAUUAAAUUCAUGAGAUAUAAAUAUUUCAUGUUUUAAACAUGAUUUUGUAUCAUUCAUUUAUUUUCUGGUAAAACCAUUCAUUUACUGGUAAAACUGGCAUAACAUUACAUUGUAUCCAAAAUUGUAUUUCUAGUAUAACUGUCAUUUCAAAAUUGAGAAAAUAGUGUGGGUUAUUGGUUAUACUAUUUUGAUAGAUUUACAAUUUUUUUAGAUUUAGAAAUCUUUGAUAAAUCCAUGAUUUUUAAAUCAAACAAGUGGAUUUUAAGAAUAAUUUAUGUAUUGCAAAAUCUAAAUAGAUUACUACCCAAUGUUAAAACAACAUAACUCAAGUUCUAGCACAAUUAAACUAGUAAUACUACUAUUGUAUCUAAACUAGUUGUACCACUUAUAUUAUUAUUGUCGUAGUCCAAACACCAAACAUGAAUGUUUAUGCAUCAUUUUCGAACUCAAAAAUGAUUUUUACAUAUUCCUUUGCACUUUGUUCUACUAAAUCUUCAUCUACUGUAAUUUUUUUCUAGCUUGCCAUCCACCGUCUUCGGCUUCGGAAGCAAAAAGAUGAAGAUGCAUAUUUUUUUGAAAAUAGUACAACUAGUAUAACUAGUACAACUUGCAAAUAAAUCAUUAUUAAAAUCAAAUAUUAUUGAAAAUUUACUAUUCAUGUAUUUUGACACAUGCAAGCGGGGAAGGUUAGAUCAACAUGUCUCAUUGGUUUCACAUCAUCCACUUUUCUAGCAUCACUCAUAUGCUGAAAUAAAAACGAAAUAUUGUCAUACUAAUUACAAAGUUAUACUAGUUAUACGCGUUUUAGUUGUACCAGUUAUACUUAAUGUAUUAGUACUAGUUAUAUUUGUUUUAGUUGUACUAGUUAUACUAGUGCGCGUUGUACUAGUUGUAUUAGUUAGAGUCAUACUAGUUGUACUGUACGCUGGGUUUUUUUUUGUCAUGAAUUUCGUGAGAAAAAAAUAAAAUUCAAUUUUUGAUAAGACAUAAUUGGUUACAUACAACUAUGGGUUGACCAAUUUUGGAUAAGAAAAAGAAAGUUAGUGAAUAUUUGAAGGAAAUUUUUGAUUUUUUAAAGGUGAAAGAAACAUCCAUGGAAAAAUAAAAAAAAGGAAGAAGAAAAAGAUGUUAUGUUGAUAACGAUGUGUGUCCCAGAAUUUGAUCCCAUAGAAUCGUAGAAACCGUGUUAUGUUGCAUCAUUUUAAAGUGGAAUGACACACGAACAAGUUGGACGUAUAACGACAAGGUGCUAAAUUAAAAGACAUGGAAGAAGUUUCGUCGGAAACUUCUUCUUUUGCUUGAGCUGAAAAGUCAGUUAAGGGUUGACCCGUUGACUUACUCACCACCACCCAUGGUUUUGCUUCAGUUUCUUAUCUUCUUCUUUACCAUUCACAAUAUCAUUCAACAACUCUCACUCUAUCAGUUCCUAUGACUUUUCAAGUUUUCUUAAUCUUCUCCAUUCUCGUUUCUACAGCCAUAGCAGGAGACGGUGCAACCGCUGCGUACGUUCCCACUGAUAUCUUUCUCUUCAACUGUGGCGAAACAUCCAACCAGAUGGACAUAAGUGGCCGUAACUGGAUGGCAGAGCAACCAAAUAUUCUUCCGUCAAAUGCAGCCAUAGCGUCGUUUGUUUCACAUGCGUCAUUCCAAGGAUCGGGAGUUCCUCAGGUUCCGUACAUGACUGCUCGAAUUUUCCGACAUGAUUUCACCUACAGUUUUCCCGUGUCUCCGGGCUGGAAGUUCCUCCGGUUAUACUUUUACCCUACCCGUUACAGUUCCGACCUCGAAGCUGCCGUAAACUCCUACUUCUCUGUCACCGUCAACGGUUUUACUCUCUUGAAGAACUUCCGUGCCGAUUUAACGGCAAAGGCUUCUCAUGAUGCGUCCAUAUUUAAGGAGUUCAUAGUCCCUGUUUCGAGUGGAUACACGAUGCUAAAUCUCACGUUCUCACCUUCUUUAAACAUGUUAGCUUUCGUGAACGGCAUCGAGAUUGUCUCCAUGCCUGAUCGGUUUUACUCCAAGGGAGGCUUCGACGACAAAAUAAAACAGGUAGGUAAUAGCAUUGACUUCGAGAUAAACAACAGCACGGCUUUCGAAACUG